UACGUAGGGUGCAAGCGUUAAUCGGAAUUACUGGGCGUAAAGCGUGCGCAGGCGGUUAUUUAAGUCAGAUGUGAAAUGCCCGGGCUUAACCUGGGAACUGCAUUUGUGACUGCAUGGCUAGAGUUUGGCAGAGGGGGGUAGAAUUCCACGUGUAGCAGUGAAAUGCGUAGAUAUGUGGAGGAACACCGAUGGCGAAGGCAGCCCCCUGGGUCAAGACUGACGCUCAUGCACGAAAGCGUGGGGAGCAAACAGG
rnacentral:rRNA from 1 species